UUGAGACAGCUCCGUCUCCCUGCGCCCUAUUUGAAGCUUCAAAUAAAUCUCUCUGCUUCUCCACCCCGUUGUGGUCAUUGGCGCGACGCAUACCGGAUAACGAACCCAGCUGUUGCUUGCCUCGGGCACUCUGUGCCAGCAACAGUUCUUGGAACCCCAGAUGGGACUCGAGGCUGCUAUUUAGCCUUGCCCGGACCCCUCCUGGCGGUUGACGGAUUGCGGCGACGACCAACGCCCAGCGCGCACCGAUGAGUUCAUUGGGAGGCCUUGGAGGAGAUGCGAUUUGCUUGACCCCAGAGGGCACAACGGUGCAACGUGCCCCUAUAGUGGAGAAGCAACUGCUGGCGACGGUGGGGAACUGGUCCCUUGGAAAAGUAAAAUGCCCAGACACAUCGGUUACAGAGAGACUGGAGGCCAAAGUGAGAAAAAUCAGUUUGCCUGAUGUCAUUUUAUGGCCUGAUGCCAAGAAGCUGGUUGGGUGAUAAGGUAAAUUUAAAUAGCGGUAAACAUGGAUGGUGACUGGAUUGAGUUGUCAGAUAUUUUUGAAAUGUUCACUAUUCCCUCAUCACCUAUUGUAGGUAAUUGAUGUGUAUUUCUGUUGUGUGGUCAAUCAGGAAAAUAAGUGGAAAGGCCACCUAUUGUGACGCUAUAUGGGAAUAUCAAAUUAAUUAAUUAAACCAUCACACGAAUACAUUUGAAAACAUAUUUAAGUCCAAAUAGCAUGGAAGUGUGGAUAUAUGCCACUAAUUGUAGCAUUUUGCUAUAUUUACUGCUCCCAAAUAUGUUCUCAAAAGUCUUUUGAGAUAUAUACCUGAGGUACAAUCCUCGAGGAAGGCAAUGUUAGUUUUGAUAUAAAGUUCAAUGGGGCCAUCACUUCAGUAUGUGUACUGGUUAAUCAGUUUUUGAAGCAAGUAAGAAGGACCACACGUGGUCUUAAAAAGAAAAGGUCUGUAAUCCAUCUUACAUAACUUAUGUCUGUGUAACAGUAAGGAGCCCUUCCACGGAUGUAUUUAUGAACUACAUUAUGUUCUAUGUGUGCCAGAAGGAUUAAUCCAUUUAAUUAUUGUCAGACCACAGGUACAAGCCAAGUCUACUAGCAUUAUGUCUGGCCAAGCAAGAGAAAGGAAAUCUGAGAAGAUAAAUGUUAGUCAUGUUCAUGCCUAACAUGGGCAAAACACAUUUUCAUAAUGGCCGUUAAGCACAGUCAUCACAUUAAUGGAAGCAAAAGUAUUGUUAAUAAUUUACUCCUUGUGCGAUGAAACGAGAUAUGAGAAAACUUCCUGAGGGACUGGAGACGCCAAUCCACAUCUGCGGAGCCUUCCUGGGAAUGUUCAAGGUGGCAUGUGAGCAAUGGCUGCUGCCUGCAAACUGAGUCGUGCAUGGACAUGUGACUUGCCCAUGUGACUCCAAACUCCAUCUUGCUGCUGUGAUUUUCCACAGUAAGAACAAAUGGUCCUUCCAUAUGGCAGAGGAUAUAAAAGGCACUGGAAACCCCUCCAUUUUGUCUUCAGUCCUGCUUCUGACCUCUGGAGGAACAGUGCUUGAAACUGAAGCUCUGAACAGAGGACUGAAUGACCCAUCCAAGCUGGGAUGUUUGUACUCCAGAGACUUGAUUGGUAUAAAUCAGCAGUAAUCCCAUCAAGUCUGAAACAAGCCUGAACUAAGAACUUUGCAACUGUUGUAUGUAUGUGAUUCCAUUUAACC